AUCUCAUCCUUCAUGACCCAAACCUUCCCUUCCUCCCCAUCUACAAACUCUCCAGUUCUCACCAAUCUCACUUUGAGUUGAACCCACACCCACCAUCGCUCCAUUUUUGCCGUCGUUGCUCCAAUCGAAGAAGCCAUACGCCGUCGUCAUCGUCGUCUCCUCUCAACAUCUAGUUGCCGGCGCCUAUAUCUCAAUUUUAGAGGCAAAGCAGUUCACUCUCUCUCUGGAGUUUUUGGCCAGA